rnacentral:rRNA from 1 species
GCGUGCUUAACACAUGCAAGUCGAACGAUGAUCUCCCGCUUGCGGGGGUGAUUAGUGGCGAACGGGUGAGUAAUACGUGAGUAACCUGCCCUUGACUCUGGGAUAAGCCUGGGAAACCGGGUCUAAUACUGGAUACGACCCCCUGUCGCAUGGUGGGGGGUGGAAAGGGUUUGACUGGUUUUGGAUGGGCUCACGGCCUAUCAGCUUGUUGGUGGGGUAAUGGCUCACCAAGGCGACGACGGGUAGCCGGCCUGAGAGGGUGACCGGCCACACUGGGACUGAGACACGGCCCAGACUCCUACGGGAGGCAGCAGUGGGGAAUAUUGCACAAUGGGCGGAAGCCUGAUGCAGCGACGCCGCGUGAGGGAUGACGGCCUUCGGGUUGUAAACCUCUUUCAGCAGGGAAGAAGCCACAAGUGACGGUACCUGCAGAAGAAGCGCCGGCUAACUACGUGCCAGCAGCCGCGGUAAUACGUAGGGCGCAAGCGUUGUCCGGAAUUAUUGGGCGUAAAGAGCUCGUAGGCGGUUUGUCGCGUCUGCUGUGAAAGCCCGGGGCUCAACCCCGGGUCUGCAGUGGGUACGGGCAGACUAGAGUGCAGUAGGGGAGACUGGAAUUCCUGGUGUAGCGG